AUUGAACGCUGGCGGCAGGCUUAACACAUGCAAGUCGAACGAUGAAGAUAUAGCUUGCUAUAUCGGAUUAGUGGCGGACGGGUGAGUAACACUUAGGAAUCUACCUUUUAGCGGGGGAUAGCUCGGGGAAACUCGAAUUAAUACCGCAUAAUUUCUACGGAAUAAAGAGGGCUUUUAGCUCUCACUAGAAGAUGAGCCUAAGUAAGAUUAGCUAGUUGGUGGGGUAAAAGCCUACCAAGGCGACGAUCUUUAGCUGGUCUGAGAGGAUGAUCAGCCACACUGGGACUGAGACACGGCCCAGACUCCUACGGGAGGCAGCAGUGGGGAAUAUUGGACAAUGGGGGCAACCCUGAUCCAGCCAUGCCGCGUGUGUGAAGAAGGCCUUUUGGUUGUAAAGCACUUUAAGCAGUGAAGAAGACCUAUUGGUUAAUACCCAAUAGCGAUGACAUUAACUGCAGAAUAAGCACCGGCUAACUCUGUGCCAGCAGCCGCGGUAAUACAGAGGGUGCAAGCGUUAAUCGGAGUUACUGGGCGUAAAGCGAGCGUAGGUGGUUAAAUAAGUCAGAUGUGAAAGCCCUGGGCUCAACCUAGGAACGGCAUCUGAAACUAUUUAACUAGAGUAGGUGAGAGGGAAGUAGAAUUUCAGGUGUAGCGGUGAAAUGCGUAGAGAUCUGAAGGAAUACCGAUGGCGAAGGCAGCUUCCUGGCAUCAUACUGACACUGAGGCUCGAAAGCGUGGGUAGCAAACAGG
rnacentral:rRNA from 1 species